rnacentral:rRNA from 1 species
UGCUGGGCCACUCCAUCGUGCCCGGACGAAAGNNAGGGGAGCGAAAGGGAUUACCCCCAGAGGAGUCCUGGNCGUAAACGAUGAACACUAGGUGUCGGGGGAAUCGACCCCCUCGGUGUCGUAGCCAACGCGUUAAGUGUUCCGCCUGGGGAGUACGCACGCAAGUGUGAAACUCAAAGGAAUUGACGGGGGCCCGCACAAGCGGUGGAGUAUGUGGUUUAAUUCGAUGCAACGCGAAGAACCUUACCAGGGUUUGACAUCCUGCGAAUCUCUUGGAAACGAGAUUGUGCCUUUGGGAACGCAGUGACAGGUGGUGCAUGGCUGUCGUCAGCUCGUGUCGUGAGAUGUUGGGUUAAGUUUUUUUUCGAGCGCAACCCACGNNNUUAGUUGCCAGCAUUCAGUUGGGCACUCUAGAGAGACCGCCGGUGAUAAACCGGAGGAAGGUGUGGAUGACGUCAAGUCAUCAUGCCCCUUACAUCCUGGGCUACACACGUACUACAAUGCUACGGACAAAGGGCAGCGAACUCGCGAGGGCAAGCAAAUCCCAUAAACCGUGGCUCAGUUCAGAUCGUAGGCUGCAACUCGCCUACGUGAAGAAGGAAUCGCUAGUAAUCGCAGGUCAGCAUACUGCGGUGAAUACGUUCCCGGGCCUUGUACACACCGCCCGUCACACCAUGGAAGUUGGCCACGCCCGAAGUCGUUACUCCAACCCCUUGUGGAGGAAGACGCCGAAGGUGGGGCUGAUGACUGGNGUGAAGUCGUAACAGGGUAGCCGUACCUGUUAGUGCGGCUG